CUUAUCAAUUUCUGUAAUGUGCUCAACGGUCAACGGAUACACAAAAGGCAAGCUAUUUAUAGUUAAUACGUAAUGCUUGAAGACUGUCAUCAUUUGAUAAACAUUGACUAUAGGUAAUACUCCUGAUAUAACUAUGUUUUUAAUAGCUUUGAUAAAACAGUUUUUAACAUUGAAGCAGUGUUAUUUCAUUAAAUUGUAUAUUAUUGCAAAAGA